AAAAAUUGUGGGAGGUCAAUUUUUUCUCAUUUCAGAUUUCAGAAAUUAAAAAGAAUUAUUCUUCAAACAUUUUUUUUUUUUUCAAAUUUCAAAUAUUGAAAAAUUUCAAGAAGUAAUCUUUAAUUGCACAGUAUGGCGCAUUAGAUUUGUAAAAUCUUUGAUCACAUUUAUUUAUUUAUUAUGCCGAAUCUAACAGUGUAUUUAGAUUUUUAAUUUUGGGUCCAGUUUUCAAAUUGGUCUUCAUUGAGGUCCAAAGGGUCCAAAAUUAAACUUUGUUUGAUUUUAGCAAAAAUUGAAUAUAUGAGGCUCUUUGAUAUGCUGAAUCUAAACAUGUAUUUAGAUUUUUGAUUAUGGGCCCAGUUUUCAAGUUGGUCCAAAUUGGGGUCCAAAAUUAAACUUUGUUUGAUUUCAACAAAAAUUGAAUAUAUGAGGUUCUUUGAUAUGCUGAAUCUAACCAUGUAUUUAGAUUUUUUAUUUGUGGACCCCGUUAUCAAAUUGGUUCAUAUUAAGGUCAAAAGGGUCCAAAAUUAAACUUUGUUUGAUUUCAUUUAAAAUUGAAUUAUUGGGGUUCUUUGAUAUUCCAAUUCUAACCGUGUAUUUAGAUUUUUAAUUUUGGGUCCUGUUUUUUAAAUUGGUCUACAUUAAGGUCCAAAGGGUCCAAAAUUAAACUUAGUUUGAUUUUAACAAAAAUUGAAUUCUUGGGGUUCUUUGAUAUGCUGAAUCUAAACAUGUAUUUAGAUUUUUGAUUAUGGGCCCAGUUUUCAAGUUGGUCCAAAUUGGGGUCCAAAAUUAAACUUUGUUUGAUUUCAACAAAAAUUGAAUAUAUGAGGUUCUUUGAUAUGCUGAAUCUAACCAUGUAUUUAGAUUUUUUAUUUGUGGGCCCCUCUAUCAAAUUGGUUCAUAUUGAGGUCAAAAGGGUCUAAAAUUAAACUUUGUUUGAUUUCAUCAAAAAUUGAAUUAUUGGGUUUCUUUGAUAUGCCAAAUCUAACCGUGUUUUUAGAUUUUUAAUUUGGGUCCCAUUUUUUAAAAUUGGCCUUCAUUUAGGUCCAAAGGGUCCAAAAUUAAACUUAGUUUGAUUUUAACAAAAAUUGAAUUCUUAGGGUUCUUUGAUAUGCUAAAUCUAAACAUGUGUUUAGAUUUUUGAUUAUGGGCCCAGUUUUCAAGUUGGUCCAAGUUGGGGUCCAAAAUUAAACUUUUUUUGAUUUCAACAAAAAUUGAAUAUAUGAACCAUGUAUUUUGAUUUUGGACAUUGGACCAUAAUAGGUAAAUUAAAAAAAUUCAAGUUCUUAGACCACAUUCUUUCUGUGUCAAAAACCUAUGCUGUGUCAAAUAUUUAAUAACAAUCCAAAUUCAGAGCUGUAUCAAGCUUGAAUGUUGUGUCCAUACUUGCCCCAACUGUUCAGGGUUCGACCUCUGCGGUCGUAUCAAGGUGCGCCCCAGCGAAGCAUUUUAUUGGUUAUUAUCUUGAAUAUUAUUAUAGAUAGAGAUAAACUGUAAACAGCAAUAAUGUACAGCAAAGUUAGAUCUACAAAUAAGUCAACAUGACCAAAAUUGUCAAUUGACCCCUUAAGGAGUUAUUGCCCUUUAUAGUCAAUUUUUUACAAUUUUCAUAAAUUUUGUAAAUUUUUGUAAAUUUUUACAAUAUAUUUUCCACUGUUACUACCGGGCCAAGUUCAUUAUAGAUAGAGAUAAUAGUAAGGAGAAAGAAUGUUCAGUAAAGUAAGAUCUACAAACACAUCACCAUCACCAAAACACAAUUUUGUCAUGAAUCCAUCUGUGUCCUUUGUUUAAUAUGCACUUAGACCAAGGUGAGCGACACAGGCUCUUUAGAGCCUCUAGUUUUUUCAUGCUUGUAAUGAGCCAUUCGUUUAAUAAGUUUAUUGCAUGUAAAGUUGAAGUGACAUAACUUUAAAGUAACACCAUAAUAAGGACUAAUCCUGUAGUAUAGCCUACUAGUACUUAUCCAAUCAAGACUUUGUACAUGUAUCAGGCAUAUAAAAGGAUAGAAGCUAUCCAAUUGAAAAUACAAAAUAUCAUAUAAUAGGAAUUGUAUAAAUUCUAUGAAAUAAAGUUUACACAAAAUUUGAUAAUUUGUUAAGUGUGUAAAGUUAUCACCAGUCAAGAAAAGCAUGUAAUUUUUAUCCAUAAAAUGUUAUGACGUUGUAAGAAUAUAUAGGUGUCAUUUCAGAAGACAUUUGGUUUCCAGACAAUAACUUGAGUAAAGGUGAACAGAUCUCUAUAAAAUUGUACCACAAGGUACCAUACCAAAAAAAAAAAGUAGUUGGGAUUGAUUUUGGGCCCAGUUUUCAAGUUGGUCCAAAUUUGGGUUCAAAAUUAAACUUUGUUUGAUUUCAACAAAAAUUGAAUAUAUGGGGUUCUUUGAUAUGCUGAAUCUAACCAUGUAUUUAGAUUUUUUAUUUGUGGACCCCGCUAUCAAAUUGGUUCAUAUUGAGGUCAAAAGGGUCCAAAAUUAAACUUUGUUUGAUUUCAUCAAAAAUUGAAUUAUUGGGGUUCUUUGAUAUGCCAAAUCUAACCGUGUUUUUAGAUUUUUAAUUUUGGGUCCCGUUUUUUAAAUUUGUCUACAUUAAGGUCCAAAGGGUCCAAAGGGUCCAAAAUUAAACUUAGUUUGAUUUUAACAAAAAUUGAAUUCUUUGGGUUCUUUGAUAUGCUGAAUCUAAACAUGUGUGUAGAUUUUUGAUUAUGGGCCCAGUUUUCAAGUUUGUCCAAGUUGGGGUCCAAAAUUCAACUUUUUUUUAUUUCAACAAAAAUUGAAUAUAUGGGGUUCUUUGAUAUGCUGAAUCUAAACAUGUAUUUAGAUUUUUGAUUUUUGGCCCAGUUUUCAAGUUGGUCCAAAUUGGGGUCCAAAAUUAAACUUUGUUUGAUUUCAACAAAAAUUGAAUAUAUGGGGUUCUUUGAUAUGCUGAAUCUAACCAUGUAUUUAGAUUUUUUAUUUGUGGACCCCGCUAUCAAAUUGGUUCAUAUUGAGGUCAAAAGGGUCCAAAAUUAAACUUUGUUUGAUUUCAUCAAAAAUUGAAUUAUUGGGGUUCUUUGAUAUUCCAAAUCUAACCGUGUUUUUAGAUUUUUAAUUUUGGGUCCCGUUUUUUAAAUUGGUCUACAUCAAGGUCCAAAGGGUCCAAAAUUAAACUUAGUUUGAUUUUAACAAAAAUUGAAUUCUUGGGGUUCUUUGAUAUGCUGAAUCUAAACAUGUGUUUAGAUUUUUGAUUAUGUGCCCAGUUUUCAAGUUUGUCCAAGUUGGGGUCCAAAAUUAAACUUUGUUUGAUUUCAACAAAAAUUGAAUAUAUGGGGUUCUUUGAUAUGCUGAAUCUAACCAUGUAUUUUGAUUUUGGACAUUGGACCAUAAUAGGUAAAUUAAAAAAAAUCAAAUUCUUAGACCACAUUUUUUUCUGUGUCAGAAACCUAUGCUGUGUCAAAUAUUUAAUCACAAUCCAAAUUCAGAGCUGUACCAAGCUGGAAUGUUGUGUCCAUACUUGCCCCAACUGUUCAGGGUUCGACCUCUGCAGUCGUAUCAAGCUGCGCCCAGCGGAGCAUUUUAUUUAUUGGUUUAUGUAAAUAAGUUUGAGUUUUUUGUUUUGAAAAGUGAUGUGUUUAAUUGAUAGAUAUAAAAUCAUAUCUAAUUUUAGAGAUUUAUGAGUGGUUAAGUCAUAUCUAAUUUUAGAGAAUUAUUUUGUUGUUUUGUUACUGGUUCAUGGAAAUAAAUUUGAGUUUUAUCUUGUAAACAGUCGAGAUCCCCACCCCAUAACUGUAUAUAUUCUUGUAUGGGACAAUAAAACAAAUCAAACGAAAUAUUGGGGGAGUCCCCAGGACCACCCCCCACCCCCCUUCUUUUUGAAAACUUGUAAACGGUCAAGAUCCCCACCCUGAAACCAUAUAUAUUCUUGUAUGGGACAAUAAAACAAAUCAAAUGAAAUAUAAGGCAAGUCCCUGGGGUCAACCCCACCCCAUCCUGUUUGAGAACUUGUAAACGGUCGAGAUCCUCACCCCUAAACCAUAUAUAUUCUUGUAUGGGACAAUAACACUAAUCAAAUGAAAUAUGGGGGAAGUCCAGGGGGUCACCCCCACCCCCCUUUUUGAUAACUUGUAAACAGUCGAGAUCCCCACCCCUGAACCAUAUAUAUUCUUGUAUGGGUCAAUAAAACAAAUCAAAUGAAAUAUUGGGGAAGUCCAUGGGGGUAACCCCCACCCCUUUUUGAUAACUUGUAAACGGUCGAGAUCCCCACCCCUAAACCAUAUAUAUUCUUGAAUGGGACAUUUAAAUAAAUCAAAUGAAAUUGAAGGGAAGUCCCCUGGGGUAACCCCCACCCCCCUUCUUUUUGAAAACUUGUAAAUGGUCAGGAUCCCCACCCCGAAACCAUAUAUAUUCUUGUAUGGGACAAUAAAACAAAUCAAAUGAAAUAUAAGGUGAGUCCCCUUGGGUCACCCCACCCCCCUCCUGUUGAAGAACUUGUAAACGGUUGAGCUUUUCAUUAUUAAUAAGAUAAUACCACAUUGAGGUCCAAAGGGUCCUAAAUUAAACUUUUGUUUAAUUUCAUCAAAUAUUGAAUUCUUUGGUUCUUUGAUAUGCUGAUUCUAACAAUGUUUGAGUGUUAAAUCAUAUCUAAUUUUAUAGAACUUAGUCAUCACUGGUUGUUGUUAUUAUAUUAUUGAUUAUAAUUUGAAACAUUGCAUCAUAUCUUAUUUUAGUAACUAUUUAUCCAGUUUGAGUUAUUUCCAUUUGCACAGAAAAUAUCAUGGAUAAAAUUAACCUGUGUUUCAUUUCAACAUAAAUUAAAUAUAUAUAUAGGGUUCUUUCAAAUGCUGAAUCUAAACUCUAUUUAAAUAUUAGAUUUUAAGGCCCAGUUUUCAAGUUGGUCCAAAUCAGGGUCCAAAAUUAAACUUUGUUCGAUUCGACAAAAAUUGAAUUUAUGGGGUUCUUUGAAAUGCUGAAUCUAACCAUGUAUUGAGAGAUUUUGGAUUGUGGGCUCCUUUAUCAAAUUGGUCCACAUUGAGGCCCAAAGGGUCCUAGAUUAAACUUUUGUCUGAUUUCAUCAAAAAUUGAAUUCUUGGGUUUCUUUGAUAUGCUGAUUCUAAUAUGUACUUAGAUUUUGGAUAUUGGACCAUAAUAGGUAUUUAAAUGUCCAAUUUCAAAUAUAUCAGUUCUUUGACUACAUUCAUUUUGUGUCAAAAAAAUAAAAUGUGUCAAUUAUUCAAUCACAAUCCAAAUUCAGAGCUGUUUUAAGUUUAAAUGUAGUGUCCAUACUUGCUAAACUGUUCAGGGUUAGACCUCUGCAGGAAAAUCCAGUUUGCUGUCUCUCUGACAACCUCUUGUUAAGACUUGGUAUAAAUUUCUUUUUUUGGGACCAAUUUCAAGGCGGUUGAUAAUUCAAAGUUUUUAAUUCGUGGGAUUCUUUAAUAUGCUAAAUCAAACUAUGUAUUUGGAUUUGAUAUAUUUGGGCCUGGUUUUCAAAUUGUUCCACAUUGAGGUCCAAAGUGUCCAAAAUUUUACUUUAUUUGAUUUUAUCAAAGUAGAAGUUUUUGAGUGCUUUAUUUUUAUGCCCCCGCCGUAGCGGAUGGGGCAUUAAGUUUAACCCAUGUCUGUCUAUACAUAUGUCCGUCCGUACGUCCCGAAAUUGGUUUCCGUUCUCUUACUUAAUUUGUCUCAACCAAAUAUUAUAAAACUUAUACACAAUGAUUUUAACCACAAACCAUAGAUGAAGUUUGAAUUUGGGUAGCGUCAUUCAUACCUUUCUGGAGUUAUGCCCCUUUACAAAUGGAAAAAUUGCUGAAUUUUUCGUUUCCGUUCUCUAUCUUAAGUUUACCUCAUCCAAAUGUUACGAAACUUAUACAUAAUUUUAAUUACCACAAAACACAGAUCAAGUUUGAAUUUGGGUGGCGUCACCUAUACCAUUCUAGAGUAAUGCCCCUUUAUAAAUGAAAAAAUUACAAAAUUUUUAGUUUCCGUUUUCUAACUUAAGUUUGCCCCAACCAAACAUUAUGAAACCUAUACAUGAUACUUAUUACCACAAAACUCAGAAUUUUUUUCCCCUACAUACCUUUAUAUAAAUUUUUUUCGGAGACAAGUGCCUGUGUUUCCGUUCUCUAACUUAAGUUGCCUCAACCAAAUGUUAUGAAACUUAUACACAAUGCUCAUUACCACAAAACACAGAUCAAGUUGAAUUUUGGUAGCGUCACUUUAACCAUUAUCGAGUUAUGCCCCUUUAUAAAUCCAAAAAUUGCAAAAUUUUUAGUUUCCGUUCUGUAACUUAAGUUUGCCCCAACCAAACAUUAUGAAACCUAUACAUGAUACUUAUUACCACAAAACUCAGAUCUGGUACAAAUUUGGGUAGGGUCAUUUUUAUUGUUUUUGAGUUAUGUCCCUUUAUAAUGUUGUAUGCAAGUGGGGCAUCAUCUGUGUCCAUGGGGACACAUUUUCCUUUUUUAUGCCCCCACCGUAGCGUAGGAGCAUUAAGUUUUACCCUUGUCCGUCUGUACGUACGUACGUCCCAAAGUUGUUUCCGUUCUCUAACUUUAGUUUGCCUCAACCAAAUGUUAAGAAACUUAAACACAAUGCUUAUUACCACUAAAUACAGAUCAAGUUUGAAUUUUGGUGGCGUCACUUUUACCGUUUUAGAGUUAUGCCCCUUUACAAAUGAAAAAAUUACUAACUUUUUCGUUUCCAUUCUCUUACUUAAGUUUGCCUCAAACAAAUAAUAUGAAACUUAUACACAAUGCUUAUCAACACAAUAUACAGAUCAAGUUUGAAUUUUGGUGCAGUCACUUUUACUGUUCUAGAGUUAUGCCCUUUACGAAUGGAAAAAUUGCUAAAUUUUUCAUUUUUUUUUCUAAAUAUCAAGUAAUUUUUAAAAUUGGAGUUAUCUUCCUUUGUACAAUAUUAUAGUUGAAUCAACUACAAUCAAUGCUUUAUACGAUGCAAUGUUUAAUUUUGCCUUCUACUGAUAAAUUAAAGCAAUUUUUAUCCUUCAUUCCUAAAAAUAUUUCAUAGUCUACUUUGAAAAUUGGAGUUAUCUUUCUUUGUGCAUAAUAUUCAAUUUUACUUCCUACUGAUAAAUUAAAGCAAUCUUUAUCCUUCAUUCCUAAAAAUAUUUCAUAGUCUUCUUUGAAAAUUGGAGUUAUCUUUCUUUGUGCAUAAUGGUAGUUAAAUCAACUACAACCAAUGCUUUAUACAAUGCAAUAUUCAAUUUUACUUCCUACUGAUAAAUUAAAGCAAUCUUUACCAUUCAGUGCUUACAAGCUGUUUGAUUACCGUUCUAGGGUUAUGCCCCCUUUACAAAAAAAAAAAAUUGCUGAAUUUUUCGUUUCCAUUCGCUAAACUUAUACACAAUGCUUAUUACUACAUAAUACAGAUUAAGUACGAAAUUUGGUGGUGUCACUUUUACCAUUCUUGAGUUAUGUCCCUAUAUAAACAUAAAAAUUGCUGAAUUUUUUGUUUCCGUUCUCUAACUUUAGUUUGUCUCAACCAAAUGUUAUAAAACAUAUACACAACCUUUCUAGAGUUAUGCGUGUUUACAAAUAGAAAAAUUGCUGAAUUUUUAUUUUAUCAAUAUUUUCAUUACCAAAUGAUUAAGUUGAAUAAUCAUUAAAUGGUUUGAGUGAGAGAAGAAAGUGUGGAAUUAUUGAUGGUUACAGAGUAAAGAACAGUGAUGUUGUUAUGAAUUGUUUGAAUAUUGUAUACAAUUUUUAAUAAUCAACAUCAGAAAAUAG